rnacentral:rRNA from 1 species
AUUGGUCAAUGGGCGGAAGCCUGAACCAGCCAAGUAGCGUGCAGGAAGACGGCCCUAUGGGUUGUAAACUGCUUUUAAGCGGGGAUAAAGUCAGGGACGUGUCCCUGUUUGCAGGUACCGCUUGAAUAAGGACCGGCUAAUUCCGUGCCAGCAGCCGCGGUAAUACGGAAGGUCCGGGCGUUAUCCGGAUUUAUUGGGUUUAAAGGGAGCGUAGGCGGGACUCCAAGUCAGCUGUGAAAUGCCAUGGCUCAACCAUGGAGCUGCAGUUGAAACUGGUGUUCUUGAGUUGUCGCAGGGGCGGUGGAACUCGUGGUGUAGCGGUGAAAUGCUUAGAUAUCACGAAGAACUCCGAUCGCGAAGGCAGCCGUCCGGUGGCCGACUGACGCUGAGGCUCGAAGGUGCGGGUAUCAAACAGGAUUAGAUACCCUGGUAGUCCGCACGGUAAACGUUGGAUACUCGCGGUUGGUUAUUAGUUAGUCAGCCGCCAAGCGAAAGUGUUAAGUAUCCCACCUGGGGAGUACGCCGGCAACGGUGAAACUCAAAGGAAUUGACGGGGGCCCGCACAAGCGGAGGAACAUGUGGUUUAAUUCGAUGAUACGCGAGGAACCUUACCCGGGUUUGAAUUCGGCAGGAAGGUGCUUGAGAGAGCGCUGUCCCUUCGGGGUCUGCCGGAAGGUGCUGCAUGGUUGUCGUCAGCUCGUGCCGUGAGGUGUCGGCUUAAGUGCCAUAACGAGCGCAACCCUCGCCGUCGGUUGCCAUCGGGUAAUGCCGGGCACUCCGUCGGGACUGCCCCCGCAAGGGGCGAGGAAGGGGGGGAUGACGUCAAAUCAGCACGGCCCUUACGUCCGGGGCUACACACGUGUUACAAUGGGUGGUACAGCGGGCAGCGCGGCGGCGACGCCAAGCGAAUCCCGAAAGCCACCCCCAGUUCGGACUGGAGUCUGCAACCCGACUCCACGAAGCCGG